rnacentral:rRNA from 1 species
GGCGGNUNGGAAAGAAAGAUGUGAANUNCCAGGGNUCAACCUUGGAACUGCAUUUUUAACUGCCGAGCUAGAGUAUGUCAGAGGGGGGUAGAAUUCCACGUGUAGCAGUGAAAUGCGUAGAUAUGUGGAGGAAUACCGAUGGCGAAGGCAGCCCCCUGGGAUAAUACUGACGCUCAGACACGAAAGCGUGGGGAGCAAACAGGAUUAGAUACCCUGGUAGUCCACGCCCUAAACGAUGUCAACUAGCUGUUGGGGCCGUUAGGCCUUAGUAGCGCAGCUAACGCGUGAAGUUGACCGCCUGGGGAGUACGGUCGCAAGAUUAAAACUCAAAGGAAUUGACGGGGACCCGCACAAGCGGUGGAUGAUGUGGAUUAAUUCGAUGCAACGCGAAAAACCUUACCUACCCUUGACAUGUCUGGAAUCCCGAAGAGAUUUGGGAGUGCUCGCAAGAGAACCGGAACACAGGUGCUGCAUGGCUGUCGUCAGCUUGUGUCGUGAGAUGUUGGGUUAAGUCCCGCAACGAGCGCAACCCUUGUCAUUAGUUGCUACGCAAGAGCACUCUAAUGAGACUGCCGGUGACAAACCGGAGGAAGGUGGGGAUGACGUCAAGUCCUCAUGGCCCUUAUGGGUAGGGCUUCACACGUCAUACAAUGGUCGGGACAGAGGGUCGCCAACCCGCGAGGGGGAGCCAAUCUCAGAAACCCGAUCGUAGUCCGGAUCGCAGUCUGCAACUCGACUGCGUGAAGUCGGAAUCGCUAGUAAUCGCGGAUCAGAAUGUCGCGGUGAAUACGUUCCCGGGUCUUGUACACACCGCCCGUCACACCAUGGGAGUGGGUUUCACCAGAAGUAGGUAGCCUAACCGUAAGGAGGGCGCUUACCACGGUGGGAUUCAUGACUGGGGUGAAGUCGUAACAAGGUAGCCGUAUCGGAAGGUGCGGCUGGAUCACCUCCUU